UACGAAGGGGGCUAGCGUUGUUCGGAAUUACUGGGCGUAAAGCGCGCGUAGGCGGAUCGCUAAGUCAGGGGUGAAAUCCCAGGGCUCAACCCUGGAACUGCCUUUGAUACUGACGAUCUGGAGAUCGGGAGAGGUUGGUGGAAUUCCGAGUGUAGAGGUGAAAUUCGUAGAUAUUCGGAGGAACACCAGAAGCGAAGGCGGCCAACUGGCCCGAUACUGACGCUGAGGCGCGAAAGCGUGGGGAGCAGACAGG
rnacentral:rRNA from 1 species